GUGGGUUCGAAUCCCACUCUCUCCGCCAUAAACUUCAACAAGCAAGAAUACGCGCUUUCUCACCAAAGGCUGAACUGGGUCCCGCGCGGCGGAAACUUUCGAACCGUGUCAGGUCCUGACGGAAGCAGCACUAAGAAAGACCUUUCGGGUGACGCGGGGUCACCUGGUUUGGCUUUUGGUGAGAGUGCGCGUUUUGCCAUCCAC
rnacentral:misc_RNA from 1 species